CCCUAUGGGGUGCACCAGGCGCUGAUGAAUUAGGUUUUUUCCCGGCAGAGACGGGUGCCAUUCAGGCCGCGGAAUACGGUUUCCGCGGCCUGAAUGCGUUGGUAAGGCACGGUUUCCAAUGGCCGUUCAGAAGAGAUAUAUUUGGUUUCAGAAGGUCAUUUCUGCUGUUCAUUGAUGAAUUUAUUGAGUAUUUAAAGUUUUUGCUAUGAUCUUUGACUGACCAUUAAAUUUAUUAAAGUCACUAAAAAAGAUAGGGUCUGUUAUGCCCCGGCGCCGGAACCGGUGGAGCACGGAGACAAGCUGGAAAUCAUGGAAAUGAAGGAUGACUCCCUUACGCCGCUGUUGGGGAGGCCCGCCGGAUUUUCCCUGUCCAGAAACCCCAUGGUGUUCGUCAAAAUGAACGACGGGUUCCAGCGCAUCCUGAUGAAGCAUAUCCUGUAUGUGGAGGCGGGAGGGC
rnacentral:rRNA from 1 species